rnacentral:tRNA from 1 species
AAUAGUGUGCCUGAUAAAAGGAUUAUCUUGAUAGGGUAAAUUAUGUAGGAUUCUACCAUUAUUA